rfam:Serratia odorifera DSM 4582 genomic scaffold SCAFFOLD1, whole genome shotgun sequence.
AGCGAUAAAAGUUGGCUCCCUGUUGGGAGCCACUGCAAACGAAACAGCUUUGGAUCGGCUCUCGACGAAGCAGGCCUGUUCCGUGUGCUGCAAAGUUUUUGACGCAUUCUUGAUCUAUUGGUAACUCAUGAACCCCAUCGUAAUAAACAGGCUGCAGCGGAAGCUGGGCUACACUUUUCAAC